CAGGAAUUAGUUUAACAAAAACAGCUACCUUCGAAUUAGCAACUUCAGACUUACUGAAUUCCUAA
rnacentral:tRNA from 1 species